rnacentral:rRNA from 1 species
UACGAAGGGGGCUAGCGUUGCUCGGAAUCACUGGGCGUAAAGCGCACGUAGGCGGCUUGUUAAGUCAGACGUGAAAUCCCUCGGCUUAACCGGGGAACUGCGUCUGAUACUGGAUGGCUUGAGUUUGGGAGAGGGAUGCGGAAUUCCAGGUGUAGCGGUGAAAUGCGUAGAUAUCUGGAGGAACACCGGUGGCGAAGGCGGCAUCCUGGACCAACACUGACGCUGAGUGAGCGAAAGCCAGGGGAGCAAACGGG